UUGACGGGGAGCACCACGAACGGGUGGAGCUUGCGGUUUAAUUGGAUUCAACGCCGGAAUCUUACCGGGACCGACAGCAAUUAUGAAGGCCAGGCUGAAGACUUUGCCGGAUUAGCUGAGAGGUGGUGCAUGGCCGUCGUCAGUUCGUACUGUGAAGCAUCCUGUUAAGUCAGGCAACGAGCGAGACCCACGCCCACAGUUGCCAGCGUACUCUCUGGAGUGACGGGUACACUGUGGGGACCGCCGCUGCUAAAGCGGAGGAAGGAAUGGGCAACGGUAGGUCAGUAUGCCCCGAAUAUCCCGGGCUACACGCGAGCUACAAUGGUUGGUACAAUGGGUAUCUACCCCGAAAGGGGACGGGAAUCUCCUAAAACCAAUCUUAGUUCGGAUUGAGGGCUGCAACUCGCCCUCAUGAAGCUGGAAUCCGUAGUAAUCGCGUUUCAACAGAACGCGGUGAAUACGUCCCUGCUCCUU
rnacentral:rRNA from 1 species